GAGAUCCAUCGUCAAACCCUUCAUCUUCCUGCACUUUCUUUCAUCAAACGUAUAAAAAAAAUAUCACUCACGAAUAGAUCAAUGUUACAUUUCCUUCACUCUUUAAGGAAAAACCACAUUCAACACACAAUUUUGCCUUCAGUUCCAAAUUAAAUCCCUUCUAAACAUCUCUCUAUUACAUCUACCCUUUCAUUUCAAUCUGAAUCCAGCCGUUUCAUGUAUCUAUGAAAGCUCUCCUAUAAAUUUAGGGCCAAACACAACUAAACCCUCACCACAAUCCACCGCAAAAACAUGCCGUCAGCAGAUUCGUCUUUCUCAAUUCCCGUCUUCCUUUAUUGCUGAUCUUUAUCAUGAUUUAUGUCUAGGGUUCAUACAUCUCCCUCGACAGUCUCCAUCUGGAUUGAUUCAACGUAUUGGAUUGCAUAUAUGUUGGCUUACGAAAAAGCUGAGAGUUUCAUUCAAGGGAAAUAAAAAGGACGCCACUGAAUUCUUGGAGGAGAUGAAUGAGAAAGAAACUACAGAGAUGAAAGAAAUCAUGGGUCUAAAGGGGAAUGGAGUUCUAUGUGUCUACCCUCGGGAAAAGAACAUCAAAAACGUGCUGUCCAUCUCAAAAGAGAAGAAGAAAGAGCACCAAAGAAUUCAAGCAGACUUUCUUUCUUAGUUUUGCUUUUAAGAUUUCAAGAAUAAAAUCAGGUUAGUCCUGUGGAUGGCACCGUUCUGAGGUUUGGGGAGUUAAAAGAAAGUAGAGGGAUGAACGAGCAAGUCAAAGGACAUUCCUACUCAGCAUCAGGUCUUCUCGGAACAAACUCUCCUUCCCAUGGUACCUAAAGGUAAGGAUGAAUCUGAGGAAGAAGCUGUUGCAGAUAAAAUCGACAAGUCUUGGUUGAGAAUCUCUUUGGCUUAUCCAAAACUACGGGAGAGCAUCUCAGCUAGAUCAGUGAAAUACUAGCACGUCUAAGCCGUGACUUUAGUGUCAAGAAAAUUUCAACUUAUAUGAUCGAGUUUUGUUGCAGUCCGAUGAAGGGGCUCUAUUAUUGUGUGAUAUACCUAAGACCAGGGGACUAUCAUCAUAUACACUCUCCAGCUGACUGGAAUGCAUUGGUUUGUAGACACUUUGCAGGGCGGUUGUUUCCUGUGAAUGAGUGUGCUACAAGAACUAUAAAAAAAUCUCUAUGUUGAAAAUGAAAGGGUCGUACUUGAAGGGAUAUGGAAACAAGGUUUUAUGGCACUUGCUGCUGAUGGUGCGACCAACAUUGGAUCCAUUGCGCUAUUCAUCGAACCUAGGAGCAGGUGUACGAUCCACAAGGUCAUGGCGUAAAGCUUGAGAAAGGAAAGGAGGUAGGUGUAUUCAACAUGGGAUCAACUGUGGUGGUUCAAGCAGUUCCUCGGAUUACAGAUUCUGUGUCAAACUCUGUUUGUUAAUGACAGUGUCUGAAUAUGACCGUUUGACAGGCUAAUAGCGGUUGAGUGUUGGAGCUACCUAGAUGCCUAGAAGAACUCGCUGGCAAGCAAUGCUUCUUUCAUGAUUCAAGUGAAACCAUACAAUUUCACUCCCAACCAUGGCACCUUCACGUACGAUGUCUGCAACUUCUGAGGACGUGUCUGUGAAACUCCUUUUUGUGCACUACGUGUCUGUGAAACUCAUUCAGAGAUAAACUAAGCUUAGUAAAGAAAACAUCUUCAACAGCAGUGAUUGAAAUAACACAUCUACUGAUUAGUUAUAGGUUGAAAGCAGCAACACAACUCCACAAGCGGCAUGGCAGAUUGCACAACCACCUGCUUCUGACACCAACCCGAUGGAUGGGCUACAAAAGGGAUGGACGUUGAUCAACCAAGACCACCCAACUUUGGAGAUGAGGAGAAGAGCCGCAAACGCCCCUGGAGUGAUUGUUGGAAGUACUACAAUUCGUCUUUCCCACUAAGAUUUCUUUUCCUACAUUACAAGCUCUACGCAAUUGCUCUUUUCCGUCGUUUGUGUUUUUCCUAUUUUCUUUUUAAAAUUUCCUGCAACAAGCUCCAUCUGAGAACAGUGUUAUUUUAAUUUAAAUUAAAGGAAGUUUGACGGCUUAA